GCAGCUGGCGCUGUGAAAGCAACCAUCUGUUGAAAGCGGCCGGUAUCUGUCACGAAGAAGAAGCAAAAGGAAGCAGCGCGAGCUCAUGCAACCGGACGUGUAGAAGUUCCAACAGUCCAGUCGUCGUUCAGUCAUGCAUGGACCUCACUGGACGUGGUUUCUUGGGCUCACAUAAUCCCGCUUCACGUUGCAUCUUCUGGAAGGAAACGGACAGACUUCUCAAUAUCCAUAUGAGAGCAGAACCAACGCCAAGGAGGAACGUUGGCUACGUGCUACUAGGUGUGGCCAUACUCCGGGGAAGCCAACAACCAAGCACCCUCAUGGCUAACUUCAAUCAACUUGUACAGAUCUGCAGACUGCUAACCGUGGUAUCGACAUCAUGACUACAUGGGCUGCUUGUCGCUCUACUGGUUAUAUGCCCCUGUGGAGGCUCUAAUUUGUCCAUACAAAUCUGUUGACACAAAACACUGCUCGCAAUAUUUGCUUGUAUGCCUCUGCGGGAUAUUUCUACAUGUACAUUUAUCGAAUAACCAACAUGCUAAAGACAUGCUUGCUUUUUUAAAUCAAAAUUUCUCCCAGUUGACAUGUACAGCAGCACCAUGGAUUGAUGCCGACAAGCAUAACCCGAUCUCACCAGCACAAAAUUGCGCCGAGAAACAAGCUCAUAGCGAUUUCGGAAACAUAGUGCUUUCAUAAUGACACAGAACGCAACAGUGCUUUCCUAGGGAGCUUGCAUCUUUCUGGGCAAGCAAACGAAGCUUUCAAGAGGAUGUAGAGCUUCCUGCAUGUGGUGCCUUUUCCAGAGUGAAACGUGAAAUAUUGUACCUUGUUAAUGCACUGGGACGUCCCACUUAUAACACCAGGUACCCUCCAAGUACUACUAUUCUGGGACGUCACUCUUAACAUUUCACAGGCGAGCAACGUGUUCGAUAUUUAUGCCUUCACAUCCUGGGCAACAUGUACCAUCCUCCGCUGUACAGCUGUAAAGUACAUGGAGGUAUAACUGCUUCAUGCGAUCACCCCCUUCUCCCCCGCUCUUGUGACCUCCGUUUACACGACUGAUGUAUUUUUAACAGGACACACUUAACAGUAAACCAGGAACACAAAGAUCUUUCACAAGUACCGGCGAUCACUAUAGUGUGCAACAAAUCGUUAAAUGUAUCAACCAGAACCAGCAAGGGCAGCACAGCAAACACUAUUGUUAAUGAUGCAUAACGGAGGCACUAGGUGUUGUAUUUAAGGAACCACGCAUAAUCAGCGCCGCUUUUGUUGCUGGAGGUAACAGCUGUUUGUGCACGACUUCCGGUCAGCUUUGGAUCGGAAAGCGACUUGUGUGUAGCUGCCAAUGUUGACAUCACUAACGUGGACGAUAUCUGUUCUAAAUUUGCAGAGCGGAUUUCAAAAUUCCGCUCCAUACCGAUAACUUUUUUUGGCGGGGGGUUUAUUGCCUCACAUACUUCGCUCACGGGUCUAUCACAACGUUGUUUUUCCUUAAUUUCUGCAAUUUCGUCUUGAAAAGUAUGCAACAGUAUCUAGCAAAAACUAUUUUGGGUUUUUUCUCGAAAUGCUCAGUUACAGCUGCUCCGCGCUAGACCGGCUUUAAACUACCCCCCCCCCCCUUAGUUUAAAUCUCUCCUAUGCGAAUACAUGAGAGUUAGACCAUUACUAGAUCGCCGGGUUUAUGCCGUGUGAACGGCGAAAAAAAUGACAUUGCGGGCAAAUAUUCAUUGGAGUGCAACCACAUCCGCCUAACGAACGCUUCUAGUCGACAGGUAAGUCUAAACUUACCAGUAAUUCGCCUAAAAAUUUCCGGCGAAGCGUAGAUUAGGCCUAUGCAUUGCGCACACAAACUCCAUGGAGGCCACCAAGGGUCUCACGGCAGUCGGCUUAGAACAGCAGGGUGGUGAUUGGUGGUUUGCGGACGAAGUUCUCAGACGUCACUAAACCAGUGACUAAGUGGGACUGCUGAAUACGGGAAAGUAAAUUCACUCUUCCCGGACAAUAAACCGCAUCGUCUGCGUGUCAUCAGACGCCAGACAAUGAUGGAUAGCGUGGGAAAACCAAUCUGAAAUGGCGCGCUCACUCUGCGAUUUCCUAGUUCUGGUACCAUCUCAACCACCACACACUAACAGCUGCGACUUCGCUCCAAUUUCCAGCUACCGAUCAUUUUUACUAUGUAUCCUAACGUAUGCAUUGCAUUGUCGUGUUCAUCACGUGCGUCCAGGUUCGUACUGUUCGUGUGUGGACAAACAUUACUGUUCGGUCGGUGCUAUUGAAUGGAAUAGGCUCCCUAGUGCGCCGAAAUGAAUGUCUCGUAAGUCUUUUGUCGAUGUCUACUAGCUAGAGAGUCUGCGGUAUGGGCUUCUGGCUGCUUCUCAUGGCUGGCUCUCUUCUGUUUACAGAGUAAUUAAGCCAGACGCAUUGGUGCACCGAGCAACUCUUAAUCGUAAUAUAAUGGACCCAAGCGUAUGCAGGGCUACAGGACCGUCACCCUGGCAGGGACCUGGCAUGCCGUCUAUGCAGUCAUCAUUCGUUGAGUCGCUGUCAUUCAGGCAUGUGACUGGGUUCCAACCGCUGCCUUUGAAAACAGCGGAAGUGCUCUCUUUUAGCGCUGCGGCCCUUAUAACUGCCUACACGGAUGCUUAUAGACCACUCACAGCUCCAUGCCGGAGUGUCACCCAGGCGAAUCCAAAAGAAUUGGUGUGCCACAAGGAAUGAUAUCAUGAUAUAGUGAUCAAACGUAAUUUGUACCUUGAAACCGACACCAUCCGAUUCGACAAAUGGGGCGGUACGUUUGACAGCACUGUCAAAGUAGCGUACGACUCGGAUUGCACUAUGCCGGCAAAGAUGUGUUGGUCUUUCCAAAACCAUAACUUCACGGGCGGCUACGUCAUCUUCGACGUCCACUUUCACUACCUGUGUUCAGCACCACCAGCAUUCGUAGUUUCCAAGUGUGACUUUGGCGUUGUGAAGCGGGCAAAAGUUAAUAUGAACAAGAACUACCAGGGGAUAAAGUGCGGGGACUCGUGCUGAUAAGCUCAUGUGAAGAAUGUGAUUACCGUUUGGAUGCGGAGUAUUGUUUACAUGGCCGUGAAGCAAUCUGAUGUGAUAUGAUGCAAUAUAUGAUGUUCCAUCCAUGA